rnacentral:piRNA from 1 species
UUCGAAGCUAUUUGAAAUUCU